ACGGUGAACACGGAGCUUGCUCUGUGGGAUCAGUGGCGAACGGGUGAGUAACACGUGAGCAACCUGCCCCUGACUCUGGGAUAAGCGCUGGAAACGGCGUCUAAUACUGGAUAUGUGACGUGACCGCAUGGUCUGCGUCUGGAAAGAAUUUCGGUUGGGGAUGGGCUCGCGGCCUAUCAGCUUGUUGGUGAGGUAAUGGCUCACCAAGGCGUCGACGGGUAGCCGGCCUGAGAGGGUGACCGGCCACACUGGGACUGAGACACGGCCCAGACUCCUACGGGAGGCAGCAGUGGGGAAUAUUGCACAAUGGGCGCAAGCCUGAUGCAGCAACGCCGCGUGAGGGACGACGGCCUUCGGGUUGUAAACCUCUUUUAGCAGGGAAGAAGCGAAAGUGACGGUACCUGCAGAAAAAGCGCCGGCUAACUACGUGCCAGCAGCCGCGGUAAUACGUAGGGCGCAAGCGUUAUCCGGAAUUAUUGGGCGUAAAGAGCUCGUAGGCGGUUUGUCGCGUCUGCUGUGAAAUCCGGAGGCUCAACCUCCGGCCUGCAGUGGGUACGGGCAGACUAGAGUGCGGUAGGGGAGAUUGGAAUUCCUGGUGUAGCGGUGGAAUGCGCAGAUAUCAGGAGGAACACCGAUGGCGAAGGCAGAUCUCUGGGCCGUAACUGACGCUGAGGAGCGAAAGGGUGGGGAGCAAACAGGCUUAGAUACCCUGGUAGUCCACCCCGUAAACGUUGGGAACUAGUUGUGGGGUCCAUUCCACGGAUUCCGUGACGCAGCUAACGCAUUAAGUUCCCCGCCUGGGGAGUACGGCCGCAAGGCUAAAACUCAAAGGAAUUGACGGGGACCCGCACAAGCGGCGGAGCAUGCGGAUUAAUUCGAUGCAACGCGAAGAACCUUACCAAGGCUUGACAUAUACGAGAACGGGCCAGAAAUGGUCAACUCUUUGGACACUCGUAAACAGGUGGUGCAUGGUUGUCGUCAGCUCGUGUCGUGAGAUGUUGGGUUAAGUCCCGCAACGAGCGCAACCCUCGUUCUAUGUUGCCAGCACGUAAUGGUGGGAACUCAUGGGAUACUGCCGGGGUCAACUCGGAGGAAGGUGGGGAUGACGUCAAAUCAUCAUGCCCCUUAUGUCUUGGGCUUCACGCAUGCUACAAUGGCCGGUACAAAGGGCUGCAAUACCGCGAGGUGGAGCGAAUCCCAAAAAGCCGGUCCCAGUUCGGAUUGAGGUCUGCAACUCGACCUCAUGAAGUCGGAGUCGCUAGUAAUCGC
rnacentral:rRNA from 1 species